rnacentral:rRNA from 1 species
GACGAACGCUGGCGGCGUGCUUAACACAUGCAAGUCGAGCGGUAAGGCCCUUUCGGGGGUACACGAGCGGCGAACGGGUGAGUAACACGUGGGUGACCUGCCCUCAGCUCUGGGAUAAGCCUGGGAAACCGGGUCUAAUACUGGAUAUGACUCCAUGACGCAUGUUGUGGGGUGGAAAGCCUUGUGCGGCUGAGGAUGGGCCCGCGGCCUAUCAGCUUGUUGGUGGGGUGAUGGCCUACCAAGGCGACGAUCGGUAGCUGGUCUGAGAGGACGACCAGCCACACUGGGACUGAGACACGGGCCCAGACUCCUACGGGAGGCAGCAGUGGGGAAUAUUGGACAAUGGGCGCAAGCCUGAUCCAGCGAUGCCGCGUGUGUGAAGAAGGCCUGGCGGGUUGUAAAGCACUUUCAGUAGGGAAGAAAAGCCGAGUGCUAAUAUCAUUUCGGU